CCAACUGCAAAUAUUCUAAUCUACAUCAUCUCUCCACGGUUCCACGACGAGUCCACAAAAUUGCAGAUUCUCCUCGCUGCAAAAUUCGAUCGGCGUCGGGCGUUGACAAAUCUGAAGUCACGCAUUCUCCGGUCUAUUUUCGAAAUCAUUGGUAAGUAAUUUAUUUUCCCCAAAAUCCGUCGGCAACAAGAUGGAACGGAAUGCUGCUUCUGUAAUGUUAUUAAUUCAAUUUUUUGUUUUGGGUGAGAUUCAACAUGGGUAUUAAUUCGUUUUCUGUUAUUAUUUCAUUUUCUACGAGUAUCAAACCAUGUGAUCUGUCAUAUUCUAUGUUAAUGUCACCGACUCACCAAACGUGGAAGAUAUGUGAUUUAUUUGUGUAAAAUCAUGCUUUAAUCUGUUGGGUUGUUAUGUUGAUCUUUCACUCGAAUUGAUUUGUGGUGAAUGGUUUAAUUUCAACACAACCUCGAUCUAAGAUUCUGUCAGCCUUAUCUCCAUUAUCUUCUUGUGCAGGGUCUUCCUUGUUUAACUAUUUUUGGGUGAUUGAAAUUCUGAAAUUCAUCCAUUAAUGAUUAAUCUUGCCAUCCAUGUUUAACUGUUCAAGUAAUCUAACAGCAAGUGAAGUAAGCAAUUGUUCUAAGGUGAGCAAUUUUUGAGUACUUUUAAUCCUUUAUUAUAAGGUG
rnacentral:lncRNA from 1 species